UACGUAGGGGGCAAGCGUUGUUCGGAAUUACUGGGCGUAAAGGGCGCGUAGGCGGUCGUGACAAGUCACUUGUGAAAUCUCCGGGCUUAACUCGGAACGGUCAAGUGAUACUGUCGGACUAGAGUACAGAAGGGGCAACUGGAAUUCUCGGUGUAGCGGUGAAAUGCGUAGAUAUCGAGAGGAACACCUGCGGCGAAGGCGGGUUGCUGGACUGAUACUGACGCUGAGGCGCGAAAGCCAGGGGAGCGAACGGG
rnacentral:rRNA from 1 species